GACGAACGCUGGCGGCGUGCUUAACACAUGCAAGUCGAACGGAAAGGCCCUGCUUUUGUGGGGUGCUCGAGUGGCGAACGGGUGAGUAACACGUGAGUAACCUGCCCUUGACUUUGGGAUAACUUCAGGAAACUGGGGCUAAUACCGGAUAGGAGCUCCUGCUGCAUGGUGGGGGUUGGAAAGUUUCGGCGGUUGGGGAUGGACUCGCGGCUUAUCAGCUUGUUGGUGGGGUAGUGGCUUACCAAGGCUUUGACGGGUAGCCGGCCUGAGAGGGUGACCGGCAAAAUUGGGACUGGGAUACGGCCCAGACUCCUACGGGAGGCAGCAGUGGGGAAUAUUGCACAAUGGGCGGAAGCCUGAUGCAGAAACGCCGCGUGCGGGAUGACGGCCUUCGGGUUGUAAACCGCUUUCGCCUGUGACGAAGCGUGAGUGACGGUAAUGGGUAAAGAAGCACCGGCUACUACGUG
rnacentral:rRNA from 1 species